rnacentral:ncRNA from 1 species
AAUCUAUUUAAUUCUGGUUGUGGGAGGCUGAGGGGCUUGUGUUACAUAGAAUUGUUUUUUAGGCUGACUGGGAUUUUAUAAUCUCAAUAUUUAGUAACUCGAUCUUUAUUAUUAAGGAGACUUAGAUUGGGCUGCCUCUCAGCAGUAGUUAAUUCACAGUGCCAGCAUCUGCGGUUAUUCUGUUAAUUGCGUCUCCGGUUUGGUUGAAAUUAUUUGUGAGUAACUAAAAAUUGUGGGUAGAAUUUUAUGUUUUGUUGAAAAAAGCUCACAGAGUCUUUAGAAGAAAGCUGUGUAAAGAAAAGGAUUAGAGACCCUUGUAUUUGGUUUAUGAACUUUUGUGCCUUAGUAUAAACUAAAAGGAUUUGGCAGCCGAUGAGGUCCAUCCGGGGGAGCGUGUGUCAUAAAAGAUAGUCCGCUUAUGAAUUUACUAUCCUUACUUUGUUAGUGUAUAUCCGGUUUAAGAUCCAUAGUUUGUGCUACUGGGUGUAAUAUUUUUAUUGAAGCCAGGUCGAUGUGCUGCUUAUGGGUUAGAGAUUGUGCGCUACUUUAUGAAAAUAGCGUGCUUGAAAGACACGUUGUAUUUAGGACUCGGAAGUAGGUAGGUUAAGAUAGGCCUAUCGAAGGUUGGUUUAGUUGGGGUACACACCGCCCGUCACCCAGGGUGUUAGCUGUGGUAAGUCGUAACAUGGUAGUGUUUGGGGAACCAGGCAUUAGUUAAUU